rnacentral:rRNA from 1 species
GUAAGUUCCGACCCGCACGAAAGGCGUAACGAUUUGGGCACUGUCUCAACGAGAGACUCGGUGAAAUCAUAGUACCUGUGAAGAUGCAGGUUACCCGCGACAGGACGGAAAGACCCCGUGGAGCUUUACUGUAGCCUGAUAUUGAAAUUCGGCGCAGCUUGUACAGGAUAGGUAGGAGCCUUAGAUACGUGAGCGCUAGCUUACGUGGAGGCGUUGGUGGGAUACUACCCUAGCUGUGUUGGAUUUCUAACCCGCACCAUUGAUCAUGGUGGGAGACAAUGUCAGGUGGGCAGUUUGACUGGGGCGGUCGCCUCCUAAAAG